UGAGGAAUAUUGGUCAAUGGGCGAGAGCCUGAACCAGCAACGUCGCGUGAAGGAAGAAGGUUCUAUGGAUUGUAAACUUCUUUUGUAAGGGAAUAAAAAGAGUUACGUGUAACUUAUUGUAUGUACUUUACGAAUAAGGAUCGGCUAACUCCGUGCAAGCAGCCGCGGUAAUACGGAGGAUCCAAGCGUUAUCCGGAUGUAUUGGGUUUAAAGGGUGCGUAGGCGGGUGUUUAAGUCAGUGGUGAAAGUUUGCAGCUCAACUGUAAAAUUGCCAUUGAAACUGGAGACCUUGAGUGUAAAUGAGGUAGGCGGAAUGUGUGGUGUAGCGGUGAAAUGCUGAGAUAUAACACAGAACACCAAUUGCGAAGGCAGCUUACUGGGCUACAACUGACGCUGAGGCACGAAAGCGUGGGGAUCAAACA
rnacentral:rRNA from 1 species